ensembl:lncRNA
CCCAUUCGCUUGGAAUCCACUGAGUUAUGAUCAGAGCAUUCACAGUCCUCAGGUCAGACAUUGCGGUUUCAUUUCCCCAAAGGUGUUGAAUCGUUCGUCCAAGGUCAUCCUGAUCCAGGUUCCCCAACAGUAAAGUGAAGACUUGUGCAAAACAGGUUGGGGUUGGUACAUGCACACGUUGCCAAUGGAUAAGCCACGAGGUCUGCUGUACUGCACAGGGAACUCUAUCCAGUCUCUUGGGAUAGACCAUGAUGGAAGAGAAUACGAGAAAAUGAAUGUAUAGAUACGUACGAUGGGGUCACGCUGCUGUGCAGUAGACAUUGGCACCACACUGUAAAUUAACUAUACUUUAAUAAAAAAGGAAAAAAAAAAAAAGACGUGUGUGAAACUUUUAAAAGGGAGGGGCCGUGCCUCUCCAGAGGACACAGCAAAUUAAGACCAACGGAUGGAAGUUAAAUGGAUAGCAAAGCGCUCUGUAACAGCUAGGCUCUGUCCCGCAUCUGUAAAAUGCCUAUGAGGUUUUUCUUAGGGGAUUUUCAUAGAAAUUAGACGGGAUAAUUAAUAGGAACUACUUAAGAGAACGUCUGGCAUGUCGUAGGUAAUCAAAAAGCUAAUUUCUUUUUUCUUUCCGACAGUGGAACACAUCAGCCCUGAGGACAGGAAUCCAUCAGACACGGGUGUCCACCUACGGACCCUGGAUCACGAAAUUCCUUCUAACUGCAAUAUCCAAUUUGACAGGGCAAGUCUGGACUUUCAAUCCGGGCGUAUACCACCAAUGCUAAGACUUUCUAAGUCCUCGAUGCUCUACAAAGAUGACUCAUGGUUUCCAGAGGCAUUUUCAUUUAUAUGGGAUAUUAAUAGACAAAAUGGAAAAAAAAAAGUGGGAGUGGGGUGGGUAGGGACCAGUCGGUCCAGCAAACUAGGCUAAGUGAAAUUAAACAUCCUGCAGGCUCUUAAUCAAGGAUGUCUUUUACAUUCACUGUGUAUUUCACGUCUCAAUUAGUUGUAGGUGUGCAGUGCAGCAUCGUCAAUUAUCUUCUCCGAAGGAGAUACUGCCCUGGCUGGAGAAGAGACACACCAUUCUGGUGGGUGAGUGUGAUGACCCGGAGCCCUGGCGGAAGAGCAAAGGUUCACGUGAUGCUAGUCUGGGGUGUCAGUGGUAGUACGGCAGGUACCCCAACACAUGGGUGGUAUAAAACAAUGUUAAUAACGUCCUCUCCCACAGACGUACUAAAACCUAUAAAACACCCCACCAAUGGCACAGGGCAGGUGCCGUAGAUCACUACCACCUUUGGCAGCCUAGACAAAUGAUGCCUUGGCUGGACACGUCUUAAAUGCAUCUCCUUCCCCCAAGAAGCUCUGUCUUAAACCAUCUGAGGGGAAGGACCAGGGUCCUUUUGUUUGUUUUAAACUGUCAAUUCAUCGUGCAAUGAUAUUUUUGAAAAGUUCAAUAAAGAAGGGCUCUCUGGAGCAAUCAAAUUAACAAGGACCUACAAUCAGGACAAAAUACGAGCACCUGUUAAAGAGACGGUAGAAAUCUUUGAAAGGCCACCCCUGCUCCUCUUACGGAGGGUGAAACACAGUGCCUCGAUCAUGGCCUCAGCAGAUCAGUGGCAGGGCUGGGAGAGGCCUCAGCUGGUCCUCCUGGAACCUCCUGAAAGCUGGUUCUCAUGACAGCCCAGGGCCCUGGCCAAUCUCUACUUAUGCUUCCAUCAAUCAGAAGACGGACAGGGCCACCCGAGGGUGAGGCGAAGGAGGUGUGACAUUUAAGGGGGUGUCCCAAACUCAGUCAUCAAGAUAAUGUUUCAAUGCAAUGUUUUUUUAUAGGCAAGGCUAUGUUCUAAUAAGUAAUUAUCAGCAUCUCAGUGGUUUAACCCAAUUCAGUCAAGUCUAAUGCAAGGUGAGUUGCCCUCCUCCACUUUACUGGGUGGGAACACAUGACCUUCAAGAUUAUAGCAGGAGGGAAAAAGGAAAAUGGGGGUGAUAUCUUACUCUUCAUUGCUUGACCCAGAAGUAACGGUACUGAUUCUACUCACUCACUGACCAGAAUUAAUGAUGUAUUCCUUUCCCAACUGCCAGGACAUUCGAAAAUGCUGACGACCACAUAAAUAUUUGAGGCCCAAUAAGAGGAUCAUAUGCUUGAUUUUUUUAGAAAAAAAUUAUAUAUGUAAACUUCAUACCGAAAAAAAAAAAAAUCAGAGCUUGACAUAAAACAGGAUCAGUAACAGUGCUCGCUUAGUAAUACUGGAGCUUGAGGCCAAAGGCAAAAUCAGUCACACUGCCUUUAACAUUUUUCUGUUCUGUUCAGCAAAUAUUCUAUUGCAUUAAUUUUGCAGAAGGGGUCAUACAUAGAUCAGGGCAUCGAAAAACAAGAAAUAUCAGCGUUCAUUACACAGUCCUGUGGUCUGGGCAUGCCACUUUUAGCUACUGGCUAAAAUAACCGUGCAGCAAGGUGAAGGACAGAGGGGGUUUCAAGGGCACCCCAAUACAAAACAAUCACUAUGCCCCUCCAUUCUAAGAUGCCACUGAUGGGAAGAUAUAUGAUCCAUUCAUUAACAUCUUUCAGAAGGAAAAAAAAAAAUAGCUGCUGAGCUGCUUCUGACAUCAUCUAUAAGAAAUACCCAGAUUUCAGAAAAAAAAUGGGGAGCCAAAAUAAAUAAAUAAAUAAAUAAAUAAAUAAAUAAAUAAAUAAAACAACCACAACCCAAGCCCAAACCAAACAGAAGAGGGACUCUUAAAAUGCAAGCAAUAUGGUCACAUGUUUUAAUUUAGGAUUCCCAGGCAGUAAAGCCUACACUCAAACAAAACAAACUCAGAGAGCAAAUGAAUGCUAUUAAUGAAUGAUCAGGCAUAUUUUCUGAAAUCAACAGGCAAAGGACAUAUUCUAAGCAUCACUAGACGGGGCCCAUGAACCGUGACAGGCCUCAGGAAAUCCAGUAUGAGAAAUAACACAGUGGCUUCCUCAUUUUGAAUCCGUCCCAGGAGGGCCCUCCCCGUGGCUCUCCUGACUUCCCCUCCUAGUUCUCUGUCUCUCCUUUCCAAAGCCGUUGUCAGCAAAGGGAGUGAUUUGCAUGCUUUGGCAAAUUAUCAUUGUGACAGGAUUAAAAUAUUAAGCGGAAAAGAUGAAAUGUAAAUGACAGUGAAGAGUCACUUUGGGUGGGAAAGGGUGGCCUUUAAACCCCAUCACAUAGACUGAAGAGCCACUCUUCCCCACCUCUAACCAGUGUUUCCAGCAUUUCCUGCAAUAAUGGGGUUGCCCUGAAGUCUGAAAUGCAGGCAGCUAUUCAGAAAAAGGUCAAGGCGAGAAAUUCCACACCUGUGUGUGCUCCUCCAGAGCAUCGCAACUUUCAGUCCAGAAAGCACUGCUCCAGGACAAGGAGGGGCUUCGGUUUGGCUCCACUGUGGACUGGGGAGCCGGGAGGAGAAGGAAGACAAACCCACCAGAACCCCCCCGCCCCCCGACUUCUGAACCACGGCACCACCCAGACUGUAGGGAACUGUACACAAGUGGAUGGGACUCGGUGGGAAAGGGAAACCUGAAUGAUGGCUGAGCCAGGGUUCCUUCUGGCUGGGUGGGGGCACUGCCUAAGGAGCCUGCCAGAAGGGGGCUCAGCCCUCCUCCCGGGAGGAGAGAACUCGAGAAUCCCCGCAACUGGACCGGGGCAAAGACCAGCCUCUCACCGCCCCCAUGGCGUUCCCAAAGCGACCUGUGUCCCGUUCUUUCUCGGGUGGCCACCCCGCAUCACUGAUUAUGGGCAGCAGCAGAGCUGACAUCAGCAUUCAGGGCGCCCAAGUGAUUUGGGGGGGCCACCCUAUCCUCAGAACCUAGAGGAGGAAGGGAGGCGACUCCAGACAGAGCACUCACCUUGACUUUCAGCCGGGGGCCAGGGUUGCCCCGUCCUGGGACCCGCCCAAGAAGGCCACAGCGACACCGGAGAACGCCCCACGGGCCCUGGGCUCGGGGAGGUGCCUCGCCCCGCGAGGCCCCGGCAACUCGGCGGCUAAGCGGGUGGCAGCACGUGGGGGCUCGCCCGGGGUUUCCAGCCCCUCCCCCACCACUUGGUUCUCAGUCUUAGAAACUCCGUGUUUCCCGUGGCGGCGCGGGUUGCUGACUCCGCGCCCGGCGCUUAACGCGGAUCCCUUGGUGAAAAAAGCCGGCCGGGGAGGGGUACGGGGCGGUGGGGUUAAAACCCGCACUCCGCCGGCGACACGGACCGCUCCCAGCACGCAUUCAAGUCCGCGCGCCGGCGGGGCAGGCCCCCGGGGGCCAAGGUUUUCCGAGAAGCACGCGCGGGUCAGCGCUCAUCCCGCCGAGACCCGCGCUUCCGCCGCUGCGGGGUCUGCGGAGCACAGUGCGCGCGUGCGUGUUUCAGGGGGUGAGGCAGAAACAGACACCCGGGGACCAGAUGGGGCCCAACCACCUCCGAGCC